UUCAUUUCUUCCCUCACUUCUACAAGCUCUUUGGGUGGUGUAUGACAGGCAGACAGGAUGGACUCUUGCCUCAGAGGAGCCUAGUUGGAGAGGUUGAAUAAUGGUUUCAAGUUAUCAGUUGGCGUAUGAAGAACUUCGCCAAGCAGUAGAACAUACAGCAUCCAUGUCAUAACCCCUUCUAUAGUUACACUGAGGACUAUUUUCAGAGAACUCAGUAGUAAUAUUGAUUAAGACAUUGGCUACUCUUGAUAUCCAGAUCUGCAAGGACCUUCCUCGAACAUCUGCUGAGUUCGGGAUCCUGUGUAAGGGUUGGAGGAUUCAACAUCAGAUAAGAGCUUCUGCUUAAGGACUGUCUUCUGACACACAGACCAGGGACAGAUGCCACCUCCCCAGGCUUGGUUGUACCUGCUUACCUAGGAUCCUCACAGCUAAGCCUUGUUGACUGUCACACUCCAAAAGCUUGGAUGAAGACUUUCCCAGUGCAUUACACUCCUGGACUCUGGAGGUCCGGCCUGAAGAAUUUUGAAGAAAAAGAUAAGAGUAAGUCCCCACCCUUCACAGAACCUAAGGAAGAACAAAGGACUUCUCCAAACCUAGGAGUCAAUUUCUCCAAACACAGGAAUCCUCUACCCAUUGUCUUAAAAACCCCUGAGACUGUCUCCCCCUUUUGAAAGUCGGGCAUGCUUUUCAGUGAGGUGUAUAGUGUCUACCACAUUUUCCAAACCCAACCUUGAA